GAUGAACGCUAGCUGGAGGCUUAAUACAUGCAAGUCGAGCGGGAUUGGUAGCAAUACCAUGAGAGCGGCGCACGGGUGAGUAACGCGUACACGACCUACCUUUGACUGGGGGAUAGCCCUGGGAAACUGGGAUUAAUACCGCAUAUUAUUCUGAUUAAUAAAGGAUUGGAAUGAAAGCUGAGGCGGUCAGAGAUGGGUGUGCGUCUGAUUAGCUAGUUGGUAGGGUAACGGCCUACCAAGGCGAUGAUCAGUAGGGGGCGUGAGAGCGUGGUCCCCCACACGGGUACUGAGACACGGACCCGCCUCCUACGGGAGGCAGCAGUAAGGAAUAUUGGGCAAUGGGCGAAAGCCUGAACCAGCCAUCCAGCGUGCAGGAAGAAGGCCCUAUGGGUUGUAAACUGCUUUUAUCAGGGAAGAAACCUCUGGAUUCACUCCGGAGCUGACGGUACCUGAAGAAUAAGCACCGGCUAACUCCGUGCCAGCCGCCGCCGUAACAC
rnacentral:rRNA from 1 species